rnacentral:rRNA from 1 species
CCUACGGGAGGCAGCAGUGAGGAAUAUUGGUCAAUGGGCGCAAGCCUGAACCAGCCAAGUCGCGUGAGGGAUGACUGCCCUACGGGUUGUAAACUUCUUUUAUAAGGGAAUAAAGUGAGGCACGUGUGCCUUGUUGGAUGGACUUUAUGAAUAAGGAUCGGCUAACUCCGUGCCAGCAGCCGCGGUAAUACGGAGGAUCCGAGCGUUAUCCGGAUUUAUUGGGUUUAAAGGGAGCGUAGAUGGGUUGUUAAGGCAGGUGUGAAAGUGUGCGGCUCAACCGUAAAAUUGCAAUUGAUACUGGCAGUCUUGAGUACAGUUGAGGUAGGCGGAAUUCGUGGUGUAGCGGUGAAAUGCGUAGAUAUCACGAAGAACUCCGAUUGCGAAGGCAGCUUACUAAACUGCCACUGACAUUGAUGCUCGAAAGUGUGGGGAUCAAACAGGAUUAGAUACCCGUGUAGUC